rnacentral:rRNA from 1 species
AGCAGCCGCGGUAAUUCCAGCUCCAAUAGCGUAUAUUAAAGUUGUUGCAGUUAAAAAGCUCGUAGUUGAAUUUCGGGGUCAGUAGAUUGGUCGUGCCACUGGUAUGCACUGGUCUUACUGGCUCCUCCUUCCUGAUGAACCGUAAUGCCAUUAAUUUGGUGUUGCGGGGAGACUGGACUGUUACUUUGAAAAAUUAGAGUGUUUAAAGCAGGCUAACGCUUGAAUACAUUAGCAUGGAAUAAUGAAAUAGGACGUUCGAUCUUAUUUUGUUGGUUUCUAAGAUUGACGUAAUGAUUAAUAGGGAUAGUUGGGGGCAUUAGUAUUCAAUUGUCAGAGGUGAAAUUCUUGGAUUUAUUGAAGACUAACUACUGCGAAAGCAUUUGCCAAGGAUGUUUUCAUUAAUCAAGAACGAAAGUUGGGGGAUCGAAGACGAUCAGAUACCGUCGUAGU